GACGAACGCUGGCGGCGUGCCUAAUACAUGCAAGUUGAGCGAUGAAGAUUGGUGCUUGCACCAAUUUGAAGAGCAGCGAACGGGUGAGUAACGCGUGGGGAAUCUGCCUUUGAGCGGGGGACAACAUUUGGAAACGAAUGCUAAUACCGCAUAACAACUUUAAACAUAAGUUUUAAGUUUGAAAGAUGCAAUUGCAUCACUCAAAGAUGAUCCCGCGUUGUAUUAGCUAGUUGGUGAGGUAAAGGCUCACCAAGGCGAUGAUACAUAGCCGACCUGAGAGGGUGAUCGGCCACAUUGGGACUGAGACGCGGCCCAAACUCCUACGGGAGGCAGCAGUAGGGAAGCUUCGGCAAUGGACGAAAGUCUGACCGAGCAACGCCGCGUGAGUGAAGAAGGUUUUCGGAUCGUAAAACUCUGUUGGUAGAGAAGAACGUUGGUGAGAGUGGAAAGCUCAUCAAGUGACGGUAACUACCCAGAAAGGGACGGCUAACUACGUG
rnacentral:rRNA from 1 species